rnacentral:rRNA from 1 species
AACGUAGGUUCCGAGCGUUAUCCGGAUUUACUGGGCGUAAAGCGCGUUCAGGCGGUUUGGCAAGUCGGGCGUGAAAUCUCUCGGCUCAACCGGGAGAGGUUGUCCGAUACUUCCAGACUUGAGGGCAGUAGAGGGUGGUGGAAUUCCGGGUGUAGUGGUGAAAUGCGUAGAUAUCCGGAGGAACACCAGUGGCGAAAGCGGCCACCUGGACUGCACCUGACGCUGACACGCGAAAGCUAGGGGAGCGAACGGG